UUGGUGCAGUGGAUCGCCCCUUACACCAGGCUCCCCGAACGACCUCUCUCUCUCAUGGACCUCCCCACCCGCCAUGAAUACUCAGUUACAGAGAAACUAGAAGUCUGGCUCCGACCCAUUUGAUAAACCCGGAGCUUCAGGCCAAAGCUCGUCUCUAUCUCUUCGUCUCAAGAAAAAUCAGGGGCUUUAGGUAAGCGUUUGAUAAUCGUGUAAAGCGUUGAAAGUGCCCCCACUUUCUAAUUCUCAUAGUUUUGGGAACAGGAAAUACGGGGACAGUCGGAACACAGCUUCUCCCCGUUCACUGCUCCCUUUAAGGAAAGCUGCCGCUCAGGGUUACCUGUGUGGGGCUGCUUUCAGUGAAAAUCACAGCACUAGUAAACCCUAAAAAAAAGCCAGAGCACCUUGAGAUUUUGGGAGCUGAGUACCUUCAGCACUACUAAACCCUAAAACAAAGCCAGAGCACCUUGAGAUUUUGGGAGCUGAGUACCUUCAGCCAUUGAGCUUGCCGCUCGAUGAACUGCCCUUUCUCUUGCCCUAUAGCCUCUGCAUCGACAAUCAAUCGAAAAUCGAUUGCUGUCUUUUGUAAAUUGAAGUGAUGAGGGGCAGUGCAUUUCCAAAACCAGAGAAAUCAGCGCUUGGUCGCUCUGCAUUUCCAACACCCGAGAAACCCAUCGAACCUCGACGAAGAUAUGGGACAAAAAAUGUCUCUAUUUCUUCGAAGGAAGUUGAGAAGAUUGGUUCUGAGACCUUUAAAUUGACUAGAGGUCAAGAGAAUGUACCUUGUUUUGAAGGAUCUCAUCUUGAUCAGGCUGGAAAAUCCACAUUGAGAUCUAACAAGAAUAAAGGGAUGAAGCUCCCAGAGAAAUACGAGAUGCUGGCUGAAUUUAUGGAGAGCAUGGAGUGCUCCAUAAGAUUGCUGCGCCUUAAGAAUACCAUCACUUCUUUCACCAACAUUUGGUCUCAGGUCGAAACCCUCACCAAAAGGAGGUUUACAUAUGCUCACCUAGUGCAGAUGAAGUACAUAAUGGGUGCUGGAAUAUAGCUUAAGAAGAUACUCUCCCAUGAUGAGAGGACUCUUUGCAUGAAGCCUGAUCUUCUUAUUACUCUUCAGCCCAAUGCACUGAAAACUUCCAGCAAAACUCAGAAAUUAGGGAUUGUAUUUUUUAUUUUUAGGAGAGUAUUUCGUGCCAGGCUCUCAGAGUUCUUUGAAUUCCACCCUAAGAUAAUCUAAUCUUGCAUGACAUCUUGUUUGUUGUUAUAUAAUGAGAAAGAAUGUUUGUUUUGGUAUGAUUCUUUUUUCUGAUGAUGCUACCUAUAGUUUUCACUUUGAAUGCUUCCUUAGUUUUUUGCUGUUUUAAAUAUAUUUGAGAGUAUCACAUGCUUAUAUAUGCUACCAUCACAAGUAUUUGCAAAUCUCUAACUGCAACAAUUUAAACUUGUUAGUGGCCAUGGCUCUUUCACACCUCCCAAGAUAGAGGUAUUCAUGUGGAUUGCUCUUUGUCUAAGGGUUAUCACUACAGAUAUGCUGCAAAGACCAGGCAUCCCAUUGCCAAAUCGGCGUGCUCUUUGCUUGGAAGAAGAGGAAGCCAACGACCACCUGUUCUUGCACUGCCCAUGUGCUUUUGCUAUUUGGGGUGAAUUGCUAGGACUCUUCCAUGUGAAGUGGGUUCUUCCAGCCACGGUCACCCUAAUCUUCUCAUCAAUUCAACUUUACCCCUGGACUAAACCAGGGAUUCUUCUAUGGAAAACAGCGGUGGGAGCUACUAUUUGGGGUAUAUGGAUUGAGCGAAAUACUAGAAUCUUUAGGGAAGAAUCCUCCCCAAACAUUUUUACUAAGCUCAAAUCCUCUAUUGUGUUUUGGGCUACCAAUCACAAGGUAUUCAAAGGACUUCCUCUUGCAGUUUUCCUAAAUGAUUGGGCCGCAAUCUUGUAGCAUAACAGCAAAGGCAUUUUUCGAAGUUCUUAUUGGAGACCUAUUGAGCCAGGACAUCUCAAACUUAAUUUCGAUGGUUGCUCGCUAGGAAAUCCUGGACCUGUCGGCGUUGGGGCUAUCCUCAAGGACAGUGCAGGCACAACCUUAGCAUCCCUAUCCUAAUUUAUUGGUCAUUCUGAGCCUAUGGAGGCCGAGGCAACUGCACUUCUUGAAGGCCUCAAACUUACUCUUCCUUUCCACUUGGAGCCUCUCAUCAUUGAAGGAGACUCCAAGAAUGUUAUUGCUUGGGCUUCAAAAUCUUCUCCCCACCAUGGAAUCUUGCUCAUAUUUUUGAUGAAAUUCACUAUUUGCAGGGAUAUGUGCGCCUCAUGGAGGCAUAUCUGGAGGGAAAGAAGCCAAGUAGUGGACUCUCUCGCUAAAGAUGGAACAACAUUAGAUGGUGCUUAAUUUUUUGGGAUCAACAUCUUUUUGCCUGUUGCUUUGUUACUGUCACUGUAACCUUUAAAACGAUGAUUUUGGAUUCUACUCUCUCUCACCCCUCCUUUUCAUAAGGGUUCUAUUGUGUAAGCUUUCCGCCUAUGGAAAGCAUUUCUCCUCUAAAACUCUAUACUUCCCUAUCUAUAUAAUUAAAAGUUGACCUUACAAAAAAAAACAAUUUAAACUUGCAUGACCCACUCUCCCAGUUAUGGAUUAGAACAUAAUUCUUCUCUGAUUUUACUAUAUUAAUUAGGUCCAUAUAUAGUAGUUGGGCUUGUAUAGUUUAUUUAGUAAACAAGGCCAACAUGGCUAAAUUAUUAACAUAAACCCAACUAACUGAACUCAGAUAUUUUGCUUUGGUACUAUCAAUUCACUGAUUUCUCAUUCAUUCAAAUCACCAACUUCUGUGGAAAUCUGAUUAAGGAUGCCACUACAUUGGAAACUAAGGGACAGUGCUCAUUUGAUCCGGGGGGCUUAUGAGGCACUGUCAGCAUGACAGGGGUUUCCUAGCUCAUUUUGGGCUGAACAUUAUUGUCUUAGAUUGAAAUCCUUUGAUUUUCCUGCAAGAAUUAGAAAUAUUUGCCUCCCACUUAACUGUAAUAAUCUUCUUCAAAAACAGUUUUCUGUGUGUGUGACUAACAUUGUAGGCUAGUUUACUAUGAUGACGUGUAAGUUAGAUAGCAAGCAAAUCUUUUGAAUUGAUUACUGAAACUUAUUUUUCGUGCUAAAUGAUGGCUGAGAACUAUGCAGGUGUGUUAUCUUCCAGAAAAUCUGAAUAAUCAAUUUUUCAAUAUGAUAGCGAAAAGAAAAGCUUUCAAGUAUGAAAUGCUUUGUGAGUACGGGUGGGGAAAUAAUUACAGCCGAAAGUCAUAGGGAAUUCACUUUUCUAGUCAUCCUCCUAGUAUGUAUGAUCAUUCAAUUUUUGUGAUCAUAGCCAUAAUGAACUUAUAACCAUGAACAUUGCACAGUCUUUAUCAUAAUCUACAAACAAGUUGCAAAAUUUAGCUGCUUGUUAUUUCUUGGGUUUCCAAUUUACUACUUACUAUAGAGUGAAUUAAUUAUUCUUUUGUUGCUUAUUCUCUCAAAAUGUAUCUAUUUUCCUUCCUUUGUUAGUGAUUUAUGUUAGAAAGCAUUUUUGUUAAUAUCAGGGAGAUGAAAUUCAUAUCACCUCAUCAUCGUCUCUAGCUCUUUCCCAACCCUCUGGUCCUUAUGUAAUGGCAAUCUCUUCCCAUUUUUCUACUUCUUUCAGGCCACACUUUUCUCAGAGAGCGAAGAAAACUCAUCUUGAUCUCGGGCCAUUAGAGCCUCUUACAGAGAAUUGCUCAAUUAAAAAACCUUUUGAGAAAGAAAAAGCAUCCAGUUCUAAUCCUUCAGUGCCCCUUGACCCUCUUUCAGCAUGCCAAACCAGUGAGAAGGAAUCAAUAGGACCUGAUUCUCCAAAAUUUCAAAUGCUGCUUUCCCAUAAUCCAAAUUUGCAUUCUCUUGGCACUCCUCACAAACUGAAAUGACCAUCAAAAGUGCAGCCACUGGCUUCUAAAAUGCUUGAAAAAUCUGAGGAGAAGAGGGUGGAAAAAUGUAGAGAAUACACCAGUUAAAACUUGUGUCCACUCCAAUUGGAUUGAUGACAAGAACACCGGAGUUGGAGACACCAAAACGAUUGAGGCCGGGUUUAGAUGACAAUGUUAUCACAACAGACAUUGAUUCAACAAAACGGUUGAUUAGAACUAGGUCUUUGAACUAAAGUUCUCCAAUUAAAAAUUCAACUCUGGCAUAAGAGGAGAGAAGAUCAGGAGUCGAUGAAGAAAUCAUCAAAUCUCUUCCCGCUUCUUUUUGGAAUUCAGUACGUCUUCCAAAAUAUGUUGGUGAAUGGGUUCUAAUUCUUUUAGAGCUCAACUCCUAGACACUUUCCCAUUUCCUUUAUACUAUGUAAUGUAUAUCUGAUGAUUUUUGAUGAGGAAGCAUAUGGGGGGAUUUAUUUACAGAUUAGAGAGAAGGAGAAGAAAGCGAUGGAAGCCAAAGCUGCUGUAGAUAAGAGGCAAAGCAUGGUGGCUUCCCUGCCUAAACUCUAUGACAUGAUCUGACUCAUAUUUCAAGGCAUGAAUUGAUCAGUUCUCACCAAACAGGAGCUUGUUCAGAGACCAACUGUGAAUCAUCCUGAAAUUAUUGACAGAAGGGAAAUUGAGAACAGCUAAAGCUGGUACAGGACUGGAUGCUUAAAGGAUCGAAUGGGAAUGAUGACUCCCUGGCCGGCCGUACUACACAGUUCCGGCUGCAAAUCUCGGAAAAAGAGAUUGGUUCAGUAGAUAGACACAUACCAUCAGCCAAACUAGUGCCACCGGGAUGGAGCUGUAAGCAAUGAAUGCCGUUACCCGGAUUUUGAAAAAUAUUUCGCGGCGGUUAUCGACUCGCUUCGGCUUUCAAGAGCGCAAUGGGGAUAUGCAAGACUUUCUACUUGGUCCGGCGUAUAGGUGAUCCUUAGAGCCGGGAAUUCUAUCCCCAUGGCUUGCUCAAUCUUAGGAAUGACCUCUGGUUCAUCUUUUGGCCAAGGUGGCUCAGAACAGGGGGCAAAGGGCGAAGACUCCUUUUCAAGCGAAGGAGUUUCUUGAGGGAUGAUGGUUGGGAUGUGAAUGAAGAGUAGUUAGCGGUAAAAUUCUGCCCUGCCUUUCUUCCUCUUUGAACAUGUUCACCAAUGUUCUCCCAACAUCCUUAACAACUUUAUGAGACAAAGACGCUGUGUUAAUUGUAGACAAGAAUUGGUUCCAGACUGGAUCACAGGAAAGAUGGCAUCCAGUGGGGAUUUCUUUGUAGUGUGUGCGAUAACUGAUCCAGCAUCAGUUCAUGCUAGACUUAAGGAAGCACUAUGAGACAUUAUGCCUCAAAACAUUGGUAUGUGUUACCCAAUUGCGAAAUGAAAUCAGCUGGUUUCUGCUUGGUACAUUUCAAAACUAGCUAGCACUGGGACUCAAAAGAUUGAGUUUCAGUUGUAGGGGCAGGCCAAGAUACGAAGCCCCAUCUCAUCGUCGAUUGUUAGAGCAAAGAGUAGAGGUUCUAAGAAAAGGAUCCAUCAAGUCCUAUUUGUGCUUGUUGAUAGCGAAUCAAUAUAGUUGGAAUUCUGGGCCCUGUAUUUGUAUAUUCAUUGUCAUGUGUAUUAUGUCGAUCCAUAAUGUGUUGUAUAUUGAAUUCAAAAAGGUGACUGAGCAGAAUGCAUUUAACGGUUUGAUAUU